rnacentral:tRNA from 1 species
AUCUCGGCAGUAUAGUGGUCAGUAUCCCCGCCUGUCACGCGGAAGGAGACCGGGGUUCGAUUCCCCGCCGGGGGU